rnacentral:rRNA from 1 species
CCGACUGCUAUUUGGGUGAGAAUAAGCCAUGCGAGUUGAAUGGGAUACCUAAAGUUCCCAUAGCAGACUGCUCAGUAACACAUGAUCAACUUACCCUAUAGAGAAAAAUAACCUCGGGAAACUGAGGAUAAUGUUUCAUAAUUGAAUUGGCUUGGAAAAGUUUUUCAAUGAAAAGGAUAAAAAAAAUGGUUUUUAUCCGCUAUAGGAUAGGAUCGUGUUCGAUUAUGGUUGUUGGUGAGAUAAUGGCUCACCAAGCCGAUAAUCGAUAGGGGCCGUGAGAGCGGGAGCCCCGAGAUGGGUACUGAGACAACGACCCAGGCCUUACGAGGCGCAGCAGGCGCGAAACCUCCGCAAUACACGAAAGUGUGACGGGGUUACCCAAAGUGUUCAAUUUGAACUGUGGUAGGUGAGUAAUGUCCCCUACUAGAAAGGAGAGGGCAAGGCUGGUGCCAGCCGCCGCGGUAAAACCAGCUCUUCAAGUGGUCGGGAUAAUUAUUGGGCUUAAAGUGUCCGUAGCCGGUUUAGUAAGUUCCUGGUAAAAUCGGGUAGCUUAACUAUCUGCAUGCUAGGAAUACUGCUAUACUAGAGGGCGGGAGAGGUCUGAGGUACUACAGGGGUAGGGGUGAAAUCUUAUAAUCCUUGUAGGACCACCAGUGGCGAAGGCGUCAGACUGGAACGCGCCUGACGGUGAGGGACGAAAGCCAGGGGAGCGAACCGGAUUAGAUACCCGGGUAGUCCUGGCCGUAAACGAUGCAUACUAGGUGAUGGUACGGCCAUGAGCCGUAUCAGUGCCGUAGGGAAACCGUUAAGUGUGCCGCCUGGGAAGUACGGUCGCAAGGCUAAAACUUAAAGGAAUUGGCGGGGGAGCACCACAAGGGGUGAGGCCUGCGGUUC